rnacentral:rRNA from 1 species
GACCUAAGGCGAGGCUGAAAAGCGUAGUCGAUGGACAACGGGUUAAUAUUCCCGUACCAUUAUUUGUUGAUAUCGAGGGACGGAGAAGGCUAAGCUGGCCGAAUUUUGGUUAUCGGUUUAAGCGUUCGAGAUGUUGAGAAACGGAGAAAACGUUUUGAGUUGAGGCGUGAGUACGAGAUGCUACGGCAUUGAAGCAGUGUAUGUCAGACUUCCAAGAAAAGCUCGCAAUGUCAUAAAUAAAUAAUGCCUGUACCAUAACCGACACAGGUGGGUAGGUAGAGUAUACUAAGGGGCGCGAGAUAACUCUCUCUAAGGAACUCGGCAAAAUGACUCCGUAACUUCGGGAGAAGGAGUGCCCUAUUUAUAGGGUUGCAAUAACAAGAUCCAAGCAACUGUUUACCAAAAACACAGGUCUCCGCUAAGUCGUAAGACGAUGUAUGGGGGCUGACGCCUGCCCAGUGCCAGAAGGUUAAAGAAGUUGGUUAGCAUUUGCGAAGCUGAUAACUGAAGCCCUGGUGAACGGCGGCCGUAACAAUAACGGUCCUAAGGUAGCGA